CCAAUGGAGGAAACUCUGAGGCAGCGACGCCGCGUGGGUGAAGAAGGCCUUCGGGUCGUAAAGCCCUUUUCUGCGUGACGAGGAAGGACGGUAGCGCAGGAAAAAGUCUCGGCUAACUACGUGCCAGCAGCCGCGGUAAAACGUAGGAGGCAAGCGUUAUCAGGAGUUACUGGGCGGAAAGCGCGCGCAGGCGGACGGGUAAGUGGGGUGUGAAAGCGCUCGGCUAAACCGGGCGAGGACAAAUCAGACUGCCGGUCUAGAGGCGGAUAGAGGAUCGUGGAAUUCCGGGUGUAGCGGUGAGAUGUGUAGAGAUCCUGAGGAACACCAGUGGUGCAAACGACGCUCUUUGUCCGAACUGACUCUGAGGCGCGAAAGCGUGGGGAGCGAACG
rnacentral:rRNA from 1 species